GCGUGUGGAAAAUGCCACCAGGUGGCGGUUAGCAUUGCAGCUCCGUUGAAGGCGCGGACCCCGCUCCCGAACCCCCGGCGGCCACCCCGUAACAACUGCCCCCCCACACACACAUCGGGAAUAACACACCGGAGACUUUUGGGGGGAAACUAGGUCGACGGCCGGCGGCGCCGGAUGGGCAGCUGAGUUGAUCCCAAGGGAAUCGCUGGUGGCCAAGGGGUAGAAGGAAGAGCUGACGUCCUCCAGCACCAUGGAAUCUGGCAGUGCACUGUGGACAGAACCCCCACCUCCACCUGCAGUAGGAUCUCCUGAAUGUGAUGUCCCAUCUAUGUUCCUGGAGAAAGAUGAAUGCAGUAAGAUCCUGCCCACAAAGUUUGCCUGUGAUAGCAGAGCGGUUUGGGUGCCCUGUGCAUAACAAGGAUCCUGGGAUCAAGACCUGGACUGAAGUCAGAUGACUAACCAUAUGAGCCACCCAGGUGCCCUUGUAAAUGUUGGAUUUACAGUUGGGUCAAAUUUUGAACCGUUGUUGAAUUAGUCAUUGGGGGGAGGGAGUCCCUACCUCCUGUAUUCAUUUUUCUCUCUUCCACUCCUCCUUUGCUUGGUACCUGUGGGGUGGGGGAGUGUCCUUUUGCCCUGCUGCUCGUUGUCUAUGUUUUCUUCCAGAGAGUCUCAAAUCAGCAUCAUCAGCCUUGGAGCUUCUGUCGUGGCGAUGGUUGUAUGGUUUCAAGUCUCCUGGCGUAAGUCAAGGUCCCCGAUGAGAGAGAGAGAGACCUGCUCCAGACUUGUGGGGAUGCCCUGACACCCGACACGUGUGACUGACAACAGUUUACUAGUCACAUAUACUCACACUUCAGGGGAGGAGCAUACCACACACCGUGUAGGACUGCACAGAGAUCGCGCUUGAGAACAGAGAGAACCAGCAGGGCCUUGGAAGGUGUCAAGACAGCCCUUAAUACGGAAUCUUAAUUUCAGGCCUUAUGCCACAAGAGGGUACGACAAAGCAAUUCAUCUUAGAACUAAUAGUGGAAUUUCACAGUGAAACUGUGUACAGGAUAAACACGUAAAAAUAGCUCGGUUUUGUACCGACUACAGCCAUCUCAAGCUUGUGAUGAACUCAGAGAGGCCAAACUCAGAACACAGCAACAGCAGAGAAGGAGGACGGUGGUGUGACCGAGGGCCUACCAGCCUUCUGUGAGGCUUGCUUCUUGUCUGGCGCCUCAGGAUCCCACAACCUUGUCCCGGUGGGCGUAGCACCUCAGAACCUCCGGAGCCAUGGCCACUGGUCUGAGGACGCCCCUUUUCACCUCCU